rnacentral:rRNA from 1 species
GACAGAGGGUGCAAACGUUGUUCGGAAUUACUGGGCGUAAAGCGCGUGUAGGCUGCUAUGCAAGUCGGAUGUGAAAGCCCUGGGCUCAACCUAGGAAGUGCACUCGAAACUGCAGAGCUGGAGUCCUGGAGAGGAAGGCGGAAUUCUCGGUGUAGAGGUGAAAUUCGUAGAUAUCGAGAGGAACACCGGUGGCGAAGGCGGCCUUCUGGACAGUGACUGACGCUGAGACGCGAAAGCGUGGGGAGCAAACAGG